GACGAACGCUGGCGGCGUGCUUAACACAUGCAAGUCGAACGGUAAGGCCCUGCUCUUGUGGGGAGCUCGAGUGGCGAACGGGUGAGUAACACGUGAGUAACCUGCCCUUGACUUUGGGAUAAAUUCAGGAAACUGGGGUUAUUACAGGAUAGGAGCUCUUUCUGCAUGGUGGGGGAGGGAAAGUUUCGGAGGUUGGGGAGGGACUCGCGGUUUAGCAGCUUGUUGGUGGGGUAGUGGCUUACCAAGGCUGUGACGGGUAGCCGGACAGAGAGGGUGACCGGCCACAUUGGGACUGAGAGACGGCCCAAGCGCCUACGGGGGGCAGCAGUGGAGAAUAUUGCACAAUGGGCGGAAGCGUGAUGCAGGAACGCCGCGUGCGAGAUGACGGCCUUCGGGUAGAAAGCCGCUUUCGCCUGUGACGAAGCGUGGGGGAGGUUAAUGGGUAAAGAAGCACCGGCAAACUACGU
rnacentral:rRNA from 1 species